GGUCUCCGGUAAAACAGUCCUCUAGUCUUCUGGCUGACUCUCAGCAGCCAGACCUGGCGUUGCAACUCUGAGUCUAGAUACGUAUUCAGAGGAAUUAAACAAAGAGUAAAAGGGUGAGUUGUCUCUGGCUUCUGGCUUCUGGCUUCUGGCUUCUGGCCUCUGUCUCAGGGAUUCACCUCGUGUCUCUGGUGCCAUGGUUGCAUCCAGUGUGAGAAUGCCAAGGAUCUCGUUAUGACAGAAUGAUUUUAGAGGCGAUGUUUAUCCAUUUUUGACUUCUACAAGGAGUUG
rnacentral:lncRNA from 1 species